CAGCAGCCACGGGAAUACGUAGGGUGCGAGCGUUAAUCGGAAUUACUGGGCGUAAAGCGUGCGCAGGCGGUUCGUUAAGACAGAUGUGAAAUCCCCGGGCUUAACCUGGGAACUGCAUUUGUGACUGGCGAGCUAGAGUAUGGCAGAGGGGGGUAGAAUUCCACGUGUAGCAGUGAAAUGCGUAGAGAUGUGGAGGAAUACCGAUGGCGAAGGCAAUCCCCUGGGCCUGCACUGACGCUCAUGCACGAAAGCGUGGGGAGCAAACAGGAUUAGAUACCCCGGUAGUCCCUGUCUCUUAUAC
rnacentral:rRNA from 1 species